UACUGAGCCACCCAGGCACCCCAACUCAGAACUUUUUUUUUUUUUUUUGCAUGAUAUAAACUUCAUCUAUGUAAAAUCAUACUUAGUCAACAUGACCCUUCUCUCACCUUUAUUUUCCAGUUCUUCUGAAAAGUUCAUCAUCUGCAGGAUCGACAGACUCAAGUCUAGCCUUAGUCUAGCUAUGCUUCACUCACUUGGGAGCUGUGUGAGUUUCACCAAAGUACUUAAACUCUUGCCUGUUCCUCAUUCUGUGAAAGAAGGAAAGCAACAGCAGUCUCCUGCUACAGAGGCAAUCAGAUGAGAAAAUUGUGUGGGAAGCCCUUGUGGCAGUGCUUGGCCAAGUGAAGGGCCCCGGGGCAAUGCUCCAAGAAGGCGUGCUACAAGAGUAAGUGUGUGGGAAUAUGAGGAGUAGGAAGACUGCAGACCUUACCACUCAAUGGUGAGUGACGUGAGUUUGCUCCAGGCUCCAAAAUGUAUUUGAUGACAACAUAAUCUACAAGGUCAGGGGCCGCAGCUCUCCAACGGCUGAACAUGGGAUUCAGAAGGAUGCACAUCUCUCUGCGCAUCUUCUUACAGGACCCACGCUGAAGGACCUCGGGCUUCCACAACGUGAUCUAAUAGGGCUUCUGGCACGCAGAACUGUCACAUGAACUUCUGUCUACACCCUAUUGACCAAAGUGAGUCACAUGACCAAGCCCACCAAGGGAAGCGGCCUGGCGGGGAAGUAGACUCUGCCCCAGAAGGAAGGGAGCCUAGAGCCCUCCACGCUUCCAACAUCGGGCACUCUGCCACCUCCAUGAGACUACCACUGGCCCUGGACCUUCGUGGUUGCUGAGUUCACAUCUUGGUCAGGAGGAGCACAACUGGAAAUAACCGAAAUGGCUACCAGCUGAUGAAUGGAUGAACAAAAUGGAGUAUUAUUUAGCCAUAAAAAUGAAUACAGUACUGAUUCAUGCUAUAACAUGAAUGAGCUUUGAAAACAUUGUUCAAAGUAAAAAAAAAAAAAAGCCAGACACAAAAGACCACAUAUUGUAUGAUUUCAUUUAUAAGAAAUGACCAGAGUAAGCAAAUUUAUAGAGAUAGAAAGUAGAUUAGGAGGGGAUUAAGAGAUCAGGAGCUGGUUGGCAUUGCAAGAAGGAGAGAAUGGAGAGUGACUAAUGGGGUAUCUUUGGGAGGAUGGGGUGUGAAAAUGUCCCAGGAUCAAAUAGUUGUGACAGUUGCACAGCCUUGGGAAUAUACUAAAAUAACUGAAUUAUAUGCUUUAAAAGAUUCAAUUUUAUAGUAAUAGGAGCUAUAUCUCAAUUAAAAUAAAAAUUUUUUAAAAAAGCAUUCCAGAAAGCCACUCCUACAAACAGCUGGAAAGAACUAUACCCAGAAGUGCCUGCAAACUAAGUAAAUACAUCACACUGAACCAAAUUCACUGUAUCUUUGCUCUGACAUCCCUUUAGUCAGAUUCUGAAAUACCCUUAGCCACCACAUGAUACAAAAGGAUGGUGAUUGAGGGAAGUCAGGGUAGGAGACAUUCCUUUUACUUCUGCAAAUUUCACAAAUUCACAAAAGCAUAUGACCAAGUGAACACAUUGUCAGGGGUCCUUCCAGAGAGCCCUGAAGUUCAAGCGCCUCACUUAAUACUUCCAUGGUCAGUACACCCUGGCCCCACCAU